rnacentral:rRNA from 1 species
GCCUAAUACAUGCAAGUCGAGCGGACAGAUGGGAGCUUGCUCCCUGAUGUUAGCGGCGGACGGGUGAGUAACACGUGGGUAACCUGCCUGUAAGACUGGGAUAACUCCGGGAAACCGGGGCUAAUACCGGAUGCUUGUUUGAACCGCAGGGUUCAAACAUAAAAGGUGGCUUCGGCUACCACUUACAGAUGGACCCGCGGCGCAUUAGCUAAUUGGUGAGGUAAGGGCUCACCAAGGCAACGAUGCAUAGCCGACCUGAGAGGGUGAUCGGCCACACUGGGACUGAAACCCGGCCCAAACUCCUACGGGAGGCAUCAGUAGGGAAUCUUCCGCAAUGGACCAAAGUCUGACGGAGCAACGCCGCGUGAGUGAUGAAGGUUUUCGGAUCGUAAAGCUCUGUUGUUAGGGAAGAACAAGUCCCGUUCCAAUAGGGCGGUACCUUGACGGACCUAACCAAAAAGCCCCGGCUAAAUACGUGCCAACACCCGCGGUGAAUACGUAGGUGGCAAGCGUUGUCCGGAAUUAUUGGGCGUAAAGGGCGCGCAGGCGGUUUCUUAAUCUGAUGUGAAAGCCCCCGGCUCACCCGGGGAGGGUCAU